AGGACAUUCACAAAUGAGAAUAAACUGAACUUGCAUUUUCCUCUGAAUUGAAGAUACCACAAAUUACAUGGAACAGUUGCUUUGAGGAAAGAAAAAGUCUACUAUGGGAAAAAGCAUCCUUUUUCAUCACCAUGGAAGUGAUGGAAAUCAUCCUAACUGUGCGAACUCGCAAGAAUGUGCCAACAUGUCUGGCAGAAAUAAUAGCAUUUAACUGAAGGGGGAAACAGAAGACACACUGGCAUUUCCACUGCUAGCAAAUAUGCUAUCACUUUCCCUAAUAAUUACUUCAGGUUGCACAUGGUUGACAUUUACAACAAGAAACAAAACAGCAAUCAAAAGCAAAUACCAUGAAAGAUA